rnacentral:rRNA from 1 species
GACGAACGCUGGCGGCGUGCUUAACACAUGCAAGUCGAACGGUAAGGCCCUUCGGGGUACACGAGUGGCGAACGGGUGAGUAGCACGUGGGUGAUCUGCCCUGCACGUCGGGAUAAGCCGGGGAAACUGGGUCUAAUACCGGAUAGGACCACUGCCUGCAUGGUGGGUGGUGGAAAGCUUUUGCGGUGUGGGAUGGGCCCGCGGCCUAUCAGCUUGUUGGUGGGGUGAUGGCCUACCAAGGCGACGACGGGUCGCCGGCCUGAGAGGGUGAACGGCCACACUGGGACUGAGAUACGGCCCAGACUCCUACGGGAGGCAGCAGUGGGGAAUAUUGCACAAUGGGCGCAAGCCUGAUGCAGCGACGCCGCGUGAGGGAUGACGGCCUUCGGGUUGUAAACCUCUUUCAGCACCGACGAAGCGCAAGUGACGGUAGGUGCAGAAGAAGGACCGGCCAACUACGUGCCAGCCGCCGCCGUAAUAC